CGUGUAGGCGGCGAUCUAAGUCGGGUGUGAAAUCCCUCGGCCCAACCGGGGAAUGGCAUUCGAUACUGGAUUGCUUGAGUGCGGUAGGGGCAAGUGGAACUCCAGGUGUAGCGGUGAAAUGCGUAGAUAUCUGGAGGAACGCCGGUGGCGAAAGCGACUUGCUGGACCGCAACUGACGCUGAGGCGCGAAAGCUAGGGGAGCAAAC
rnacentral:rRNA from 1 species